rnacentral:pre_miRNA from 1 species
ACCUUGGCUCUAGACUGCUUACUGCCCGGGCCGCCUUCAGUAACAGUCUCCAGUCACGGCCA